ensembl:lncRNA
GGAGGGAGGGAGAGGAAGGGAGGGAGUUCUGUGGUGCUUUCCUCCAGUAAGAGGAGGAUAGACACCGACACACUGCUGCUCUGUUGAUUCACAUGCUGGAGGGGAAGGAAAACAAGACCAUGGCUCUCAGUAAGCCGGUCUGCAGACAUCGAGGCAACCCGCUUUAAACGGACUGGAGACGAUGGGAGAAGGUUCACGAGUAACCGACCGAACCAGUUCAUUUUGUGUUUUGUUUAUCCUGUACUCUGGCCUGGAAGGUGCUUGAGAGCCUGAGGUCCUGGACUCUUGAGUUCUGAGUAACGGGGAUUAGACCCUCGAGGGACAGAGCCUCCUCGCAGAGACGGAGACUGAAGCGCGGUCUCGCUCGGCGGUUUGCCGCUCCCUCCGCUGUCGCGUGACGUUCUCCUGUUUACGUGAUACCAUGUGUACCCGGUGCCACUCGCUCACAGCGUGCUAGCGCUUGUUAUUUUUAGCGUGCCGCUUUCACAGAUCUCAGCAGGAGGCUGCGAUCGUGCCAUGUUCAGCUCACGCCUCGGCUUGUGUUCGUAUUAGAAUAGACGAUGGCGGCGGAGUUUCCUCAGUUCCCGAACUUGAAGUGCGGUCACGGCGCUUAUAUGCUGGUCUAAUCCCGUUUAUUUGAUCGCCUGCCUCGCCGUGAGCAGCGUGUAGAAAUGUCAAGCGUGUUAUUGGACGAGGACUGAAGCUUGAGGACGAGGGAUUUGGAACUGUUGCGCCUGGGUUUGUCAAAGGCCUUUUGAAAUGUGAAGUCAAUGAAAUGUUCUGUGUACAUAGCAUCUCUAUCAUUUUACCAUUUGGCAUUAAUCAUUUUAUAAGCUAUUUCGUUAUUUUGAAUGUCUUUUAUUAUUAUAUCUAUUUUUUAAAGCAACGCCUUUUUUUGAUUCACCAAACUGGCCAAAGUGUAAAGAACUGAUAUACAUUAUUGUAGAUAAGAAAAUUAUGAGCGCAAGUAUCAAGGUAAAGAACAAAUACGACGGAACAGAUGCUGCUGAUCAUUUUGAUCAGAAAAAAAUUCAAUCUGCAUUUUUUGUUUUCCAUUUUUCCGAGUUCCCAAAAAGGGAGCUUUUAUCUAUGCAUUCUUUGAACCUUAAGAAACGGAAAGCCACAACAAAGCCUUGCAUGCCUUGGAGCCGUUGAGAGAAGGACUGUAAUAAACCACAACCCACACACACCCAUCUUCUAUUGUACAGUUUUCCCGAGACUGGGAGUCCGCUCUCUGGGCAGGGGGGGAAUUCCACUAGCAAAGAAACACGGCGUAACCCCGGAAUCAUCCUUUGUUGCCGACGCUGCAGUCUCUGUAGAGACGCCGCUUAAGCUAGCCUCUGCUUAACUGCAGUGUGAAACGUUGUCGAUAAUGCUAUAUGAUCUAAUGUGAAGAAGAGGCUCUUGCUUGGUUUACGAAGAACGACAGAGCAGGUGGAUCAUACUCACCGGGAUCAAUGUGCUUAAUGAGGCCGCGCUCCAACCAUCUGACCAUGUGUGGCUGCAGUAUUAUUUGGCUAGGUACUGCAGAGUUAGGCUUCUCCGCCAAGACGAACUGGCUCCGAUCCCAGUGCAUGUCACGGCCCACUUGUAGUCCCCCUUCAGCAAGAUGCCCCUUACCCCUGAUUCUUUCAUUACCUUUGACUGACUAUAGGUAAUCGUAAAACAUAUCGACAAAGCCAUUUUGUAUAGAAACCACCGAAGGAGCCGAAACUCUUUUUACGAAGGAGAUGAGAAACAAGUCUGCUAAUCCGGAGCCACAUGGCGUGUAAUCAUCCGUUCACAGGAAGCGAUGCGACUGUAAUUAAAGACGAAGAAGACGAUGAUAGGAAACGACUCCCAGUCUCUCUCACUAGUGCACACACACUUAACCAAUACGGUCACACACUCACGCCACCAUCCCUGCCACAGAUGGAUGUGUCAGCUUCAGUUUGCUGCUCACUGAUUUGUACACCAUAUCAACGUAACCUAUUGUGAGAAUAAAGAAUAUUAUAAAACAUG